GCCGCGGUAGCUCAGCUGGGAGAGCGUUAGACUGAAGUUGAGCGAAUUCGUGCUCGCUUGAUAGCAAUCUACAGGUCACCCGUUCAAGCCGGGUUCGUGGCA
rnacentral:tRNA from 1 species